rnacentral:lncRNA from 1 species
UCUCUUCUUGCAAUCUACCUUAUAACAAAUAAUUUAAUUCGUUCAUAAUAUCUACAAAUUCCAUUUCUUCAAAUGCUUCUGAAAUAAAUUUAUUCUCAAUCAAUUCUCUACUUCCCUUCAAUUUUUGUUCAAUAUUUUUAAUAUAACAUUUGUCUAUCUUCUUCAUCUUGUCAAUAGUCUUAAAAGACAAUACACAAUCUUGUAUCAAU